GUGUAAAAGCAUCUUGAAGACCAGGAUAUGGCUUUUAUGUAUUCUCUACACUUUUUUGAGGCAAAUUCCAUAACUCUAGUUGAUUGAACUAGGUAAUUUGGAAAUUUUACUCUAAUUCAGUGACAUUUGGAAAGUAACAAUCCAAACUUUCAAUUUGUUUCUAGACGUUGAACCCUUUCUUACAGGAUUCUUACACAGUUCGAGGCAGGGGCCCAAGCAAAGCGAAGAUACGACAAACCGCUAUCGAGCAGACUCACCAGAGACAAGCCGUGCUGUUACAGCGGCAGUGUAGGGGAGAGGCUGUCACGAAUGCCUCUCCACCUCAUCCUUCUCACCCAGUGCUGCACUCAGCCCCCGAUAUGACCAGGAAUGGAGGCAAUUGGGACAGGGGCUGAUGGAAAGCCUCUGUCCCAACACCUCAUCCAUGUAGACAAAUGACUGGCCAAUUUGCUUACAGUAUUCCCACUCACACCCUCUCCUGACCCUGUCAGACCAGAGGAUGAAGUUGUAGUAGCGCAUGCACAUACUUUAUAUCUCUUAAGAUAUAUGCUUAUUAAGGUUAUCCCAUUUCUUCAGGAUAGUCCAAAUCACAUUGGGAGGAUGAAGAAAAGCGCAAUCAAAAUUGUUAACACAAGGAAGUUUUGAAGAUGGAAUGAUUCAAAAGAUAAAAAUGCUCCAUUGUGGGUUUUUUUUCUUUUUAAAUUGAGAGGUGCGUCUUGCCUCUCUGUAACAUCAAUGCUGCACAGGACAAUAAUCAGUAAAUCAGAUUGGUAUAGGAUAAGAGCUAGUUCAAAUGUAAACUCAAGUAACAGGGUGAAAUGUAGAUUUACAUAUGAAGAGGCCAUCGUUCUCCACCCUCAGCUUAAUAAAAAGAGCGGUUUGCUCCUGGCUCUCUAUAACAAAACAAAAUGUUAAUUAAGUUUCUUGUAACACCAUUAACAUCUAUUUAGCCGGCAUUGAAUCAGUCAGUUCAUUUGUGAAAUGUUAUCAAUGUUACUUGACAUGUGCUAUUUCAAGAUUAUAGCCUGUUUAGAUGAGCUCACUUCGGUCUGUCCACAAUAAACAGUUUAAACUAUCUACACAACCAUCAGAGUCUUUGUAACACACGAGUCGACGUUUAACAAAGUUUGAAAGUGACAGAUUAUUUUUCUCACCGCUCACAACGGUCUGAAGUGCUUUGGGUCCCGUUACGUCAGUUUGUCGGUUAAUAACGUCAUACUAACUACAACUACCAAGUGAUGUUGUAAGGCGGGUGUCAAACUCAUCUUAGGUUUUGGCCAGAUACUGCCUUACCCAUAAAAAUCAUAGGGGGUGCCGGUCAACGGGGGGCU
ensembl:lncRNA